GGAACGUGAUAACAGCUGUGAGAUUUUGAGUGGUUUAUGUUCUCGGCCACAAAGGAAUGGUGUGAUUAGUGUUCUUCUACUCACUUGUCAUCGUAAAUUUUGCCUUGAAUUGCAUGGUGCAUCUUCGGUCAGACUCAAGUCGUGACAAGAGUCAGACUCACAGAGUGAUGCCACUUUCAUUCAGCCCCACACAUGAGCUGAGAAGAACAAUGAAAUCGAACAGCAUGACAGACACGCAAAUAAGUGAAAUUUUCAGUACUGUGCAUGGGGAUGCUCUUGAAAUCUUAAACAACGAAGCACUUAGUAACCAAAAAUGCAGCGGGAGAAGAUACAAAAAAGAACUCCCAUUACAUGCUCCAUCCACUAUCUGUCCCCCUGAUGCUACCAACAUUUAAGAACAAGUUUGUCACUACCCUCGCAAUGCACGAUAAGGAAACUUCUGAGUACCAUAAACGGGAAACCUGGCUUCACCACAGAAUCAAUCAAAGCUAUGAAGUAAAUCAAGAGAGCAGCAGUUUGGACGUUUCAGAAUUUUUGACGCGAUGAACAUAAGAUCACAAAUGAGCUUCAACAUGCUAAAGGAUAAAAACAUUGGGUUCACAGAUGUUGGGAAAGGUCAAGCCCAACCAGAAGGAGAUAAGGAGCUAGCAACAUAGGCCCUUGGCAUAAUGUGUGUCGCAAUGAUGAAGCUGACAAUAGGGUAUUUUCUAUUCAAACGACUCACUUCUACCGUUCAUUGUGCCCUCAUCAAGGAAUGCCUACGUCUGUUGAAUGACCAAGGCAUUAGAAUAUUAGCACUUAUAUGUGAUGGUGCCUCAACAAAUAAAUCUACGCAAACAAUGCUGGGUGCCAAGCUCAACGCACCACACAACAUUGACGGCAGAUUCCGAAAUCCUGCGAAUGGUGACACCAUUUUCUUUCAUGAUGUAUGCCACAAUAUCAAGCUAUUGAGGAAUCUCCUGGCAGACAGAGAGACACUAUUCGUCAACGGAACAAAGAAGGGAACAAGAGAAGAAAAAAGGUGAAAAGAAGAUAAGAGAGAUGUGCCAGAUGUGCAUCUGAUGAUAGGUAUCGUUAAUCGUUAUAUGCUUCAGAAGAAAUAGGAGGACGAGGAGGCAGAACAAGCAGUGCAAGGACCACUUGGCUCCAUCCAUUAUCAGAAUCUGAAAUUUGAUGCCAUUAUAACAAGGGAGAGAAUGCUAGAAGAGGGACAGAGUUUGACUUUCCUGUUAUCUUUUUGAACAUUAAUGACCUGUCGACUGAUCAACGGAGGCUACACGAUGGUGAAGGCCGUGAAGGCACUGGUUGAAUUAAUGUCACCUAGUGUACAACGGCAUUGGUGUUAAUAAUCUACCAAGUUUGAAUGAGUGGCAGUCUACCCUAGACGAGGACAUGACACCAAUCUUUAUUUUUUGUCUACACACAGUGUCUGAUGUUAACCAUCUACCAAGUUUAAACGACAGUGAAGGUCUACCAGAGACAAGGACAUGACACCAUUCUUUAAUCUUCAUCUACACAAGAAUGUCUGGUGUAUUGGUAUUUUUUGUGAAACCAGCAGCGCAGAAAAUUCAUUCAAGUUGGAGUACCAUAGCAGUUGACCUUCUUGAUUGCUGGGGUAGGCCCUGGACUUCACAAACAUGGCUUCCUGUCUGGUUUGAGCUGGGAUCAUCCUGCCAGAAUCACACAAUAGGUGACAUCACUACCAAGAGAUCUAUUUUUUAGUGUGCAGAGGAGGGCACCGGACACUGCUGUGCAUGGUAUACAACAUCCGUAAUGUAAGUGCUUUAUUGGUAAUUUUAAUGAUAUUCUGUGUAGCUUAGAGUAUGCAAGACAAUGCAAUAGGUUUUCCAGCAAUUAUUACACUCGAGGGUUCACAUAAAACUAUGAUAACAAUUUUCCUGAAGGAUAUUUUGAUAAAUAUUUUGGGACUGAUAUAACUCUCUGUACUAUCUGCUCUAGACCUGAUGGUCUGUUAAAUCCAUCUUAUCUUUCACUCUGUAGCAACAUGAUAUGUGCCAUGACUGAUACAAACUGGGAUAGGGCCGUAUGAAUAAUUUUGCAGUGAAUUUACUCCCUUUUUCUGUACGUGUUACUAUUUUGGGCAUGCUAAUUUGAGUUAUUCCCCAUUCACCAUAAAAUUCAUGUUUGUGACGUUUGCUGAGUGUGUAUCCAUCAUGAAAUUACAGAAAUGCGCAGAGAUUUAGCGUCCUGCAUUUUAAGGAUCAUGUGAUUGUAGGUAGAUUCUCGAUAUCGGUACGUCUGCCAAAAAGCAUUGUACCUACUUAAGAUCCAGAUUUAUAAAAUUUUAACCUAUUUUUAUGAGGAUUGUGUUCUUCAAUGUUUUUUCCACAAUUUAAAAACAAAAUGAUCCUUCAACCACAAAGAAACAUGUUAGUCUGGAAUCUAGUUUCAGAAGUGCAAUGUCAAAUGUUCUAUCUUGCUGGCAGUUGUCAUUUACUUUGCAUGCUUUUAUACAAGAGCAUUGCCAUUGUUGUGUUUCAAGUUGACCCUUCUGGAUAUUUAUUAUGGGAAUGUUGCACGUUUGUCAAAUUUCAUCAAUGGAGCAUUUCAGCCAAGAUGGCUUUGGGGCUUGGUGACAAGAACCAGUUUUCUCUCAAAAUUGACCCAUAUAAACAUUAAUGUCUGCAGAAGAAAGGAAUUCUUUGCCUAUGUUUGACAAGAGAGCUGCUGACUUCUGGAAAUUGUUUCCUUUGCUUGUAAAUGAGAGAUACUUGUAUUUGGUGUUAGGAAAUAACCUUAACCCUAACUUAUCUUGGAGGGGGAGGGUGCCCCCCCACCACCUCAACAUUUUUGUUUAUAAAUCCACCACACAAAAUACUUUGAUUGCACCCUUUGCUGACUUUUUACUUUCAAGCCUCGUGGCACUUUUUCAACCAAAUUUGUGACGCCUGCGUUCACAGUUUAGAAAUUAUGCAACAUUACAUCGGACCAAAAAUUGCUUAAAAACGUAAUUUCAUGUACAAAGUCAGUACAUAAUGUGUUUUCAGCUAGAAUACAUAAACGGGUGAUUGUUUUUACUUUCAUUGACAGCAGCCAUUCAAUUUGAUGCUGCCUAUGGCCAAAAUGUCACAGUCAAAUUCUGUCUAAAGAACAAAAACAAAGAAAUGGGUAAGGAAUUUAGAAAACAAUAAAAUACAUAAGAAAUCGAGCUUGGUACCAGAUUUUUUUUUUUGUUAAACAUUGUUAUGAUUACUAUAAAGAAUAUUUUCACCAAAUAUAUAACCAUCUAGGACCUUUCUGUAGUGAAUUGGAGCAAAAAGUAUGCUAUUAAUAAUAAAUUAACAUGAAUAAUUAAUAUAAAAUACAUGAGUUUAGUGCAAUUUACCUAUGCAACCACAUCAAACACGUCAUUAAAUUUGUGUCGCGAACCGUGGCCGAGAUCUUUUGGGGCCAUAAUCAGGCCCCACAGGAAUUUAAGCUUUAAAAAUAGCCCAGGUGUAAGUUAGGGUUAAGUACUGUCUUACCAAGAAGAAUGGAUUUCUUUUCAGCUUACAAGUGAUAUCUUGAAAGUGGCACAUCAAGUGGACAUUCAAAUACUGAUAAAUUGCAGUAUGAGGCUUCGAUGACCCUGUUUUACUCAUGUAUGGUGCAAUAUGGCUGGUUUGGACAACAUCUUGAAGUCUUUUCCUCAGGAAACAUUUAAAGUCUUAUCCUGUGUGAACCAAAACUGCAGAUGAUCUCUUAGCUGGAAUUGUGUAAGGGUUUGCUAUGUCCGUGAAGGCGAUUGAUGGAACUUGAUAUACCUGAUUAGGUUGUAGUCGGG